GAAAAACAAAUGUCCAUGUUCUGAGAUCACUGUGCUUCCGUUCUCCCCGUGGGCAGCCUGAGCACACUCCCCUCGGACCACGCAGCUGUGAUGCUCAUGAGUUUGAAGUCUUGCCCUAUAACAAAGGCGUUACCCGUCUGAGCAUCAAUACUCACUCCUAGCAAAAUGCUGAGGGCUACCCAGGUGGCAGGAAGUAGCACACUGUGGCUGUGCCAGGCACCCCCCCUUCAGCCUUGCAGAGCAUGAGCGCAGAAUCUACGUUCUAGUACUAGAGUGGCAAGAGCUUCCCUGUUGAAUGUCUUCUAGAUCAAGGAUCACAGAAUUCUUCUGUAUGAGUUCUGGAAGUCAGAGUUCUGAAGUCAGUUCCGCCGAGCUGAAGUCAAGGUGUCAGCAGGAUUGGUUCCUUCUGGAGGCUCCGGGGAGCCUCUGUUGCUUUGCCUUUUUCAGCUUCUCGUGGCUGCCUCUGUUCCUUGGUUGUGGCUCCUUCCUCCAUAUAUUCAAAGUACACGGCUCUAGUCUCUGCCUCCACCUCCCUGUUGCAUCUCCUCUGGUUCUGAUUCCUCCCGUCUCCUUCACAAGGGCCCUCGUGAUCACAGUUUGUGCCUCUCUCUCUGUACGUAUGUAUACGAUUGUCUUCUGCGUAUAUAAUCAUUUUUAAGUACAAAUGUUACUUCACAAUAAACUGUCCA